rnacentral:tRNA from 1 species
GCCCCUCUGGUGGAAUUGGUAGACACACUGGAUUUAGGUUCCAGCGGCGAAAGUCGUGCGAGUUCGAGUCUCGCGGGGGGCACCA